CCUCAUCCAUCAAAAAAGUAAAUAUUGGACCCAUUUGUCACAAGCCACAUAAUCUCCAGAACAUUCUGACUCUUAAAUGGCAUUUUUCAGACGGACACAUCAGGAGAAAGUUAACUUUCUUCCAGACCUGUUUCUAUAU